rnacentral:rRNA from 1 species
AACGAACGCUGGCGGCAUGCCUAACACAUGCAAGUCGAACGAGACCUUCGGGUCUAGUGGCGCACGGGUGCGUAACGCGUGGGAACCUGCCCUUAGGUUCGGAAUAACUCCCCGAAAGGGGUGCUAAUACCGGAUAAUGUCUUCGGACCAAAGAUUUAUCGCCUUUGGAUGGGCCCGCGUUGGAUUAGCUAGUUGGUAGGGUAAAAGCCUACCAAGGCGACGAUCCAUAGCUGGUCUGAGAGGAUGAUCAGCCACACUGAGACUGGGACACGGCCCAGACUCCUACGGGAGGCGGCAGUGGGGAAUAUUGGAAAAUGGGCGGAGGCCUGAUCCAGCAAUGCCGCGUGAAUGAUGAAGGCCUUAGGGUUGUAAAGCUCUUUUACCCGGGAUGAUAAUGACAGUACCGGGAGAAUAAGCUCCGGCUAACUCCGUG